GCUGCUCCAUGGGCUCUGGCGUUAGAGACUGUGGACAGACCACCACACUGGUCUGAGGGGUCCCAGGACUUUAAAAAGAGUGCGGGCUGCAGACUGCUGGGUGGGGCCCUCAGAUCCGCCGGCUGGCCCCUCCGUGCCCUCGUGCCUACCUGUUGGCCCUGCCCGCCCACCAGCCUCUGCCCCGCAGCUCUCGCCCCUGCCCCUCUGGGGCACCCGAUCCCACACCUGCACAUCAGGGAGCUGCUCCCAGGUCUGCCCAUGCUUGGGGGCUCAGCUGCCCUGCUCUGAUGCGCUGCCCACGCUGCCCACCCGCAGAUGAUGGCAUUUCUGAAACCCACAUGAAUUGUGUCACCCCCUGCAUGACCACGCCUGGGGAGGUCCUGCACCCGUCCACGACACUCAGUGCACGAUCUUAACAGAUGAGCAAAUGAAGGCUCUCUCUGCAAAGCCAGCCGGGAUGCAUUGCCUCAAGUCAGCCACCAGAUGGCAGCAGAGAACAAGACACCUGCUGGGUGGAGCCCAGGUGGCGCACAGGGUUGGCUCAUCCACAUUGUACAGGUGGAGAACCUGCAGCUCUGGAAGAGGGAACCACUGCCAAGGCCACCCAUCCCAGAAGUGAUGGAGUUGGGAUUUGAACCCAGUUCUACCUCCCUCUAACCCCUAUGGAUUUCCUCUAGGUUGGUGAAUCAGUGACAAAGCUUCAAUCAUACCAAAGAGAAAUUUAAAAACCAUGA
rnacentral:lncRNA from 1 species